GGUUCCGGGCCGCGCGGCGCCAUGGCCUCGCUGUGGCGGCUGAAGCGGUUCGAUGCCUUCCCCAAGCCCCUGGAAGACUUUCGGGUCAAGACGUGCGGGGGCGCGCUGGUGACGGCUGUCAGCGGGCUCAUCGUGGUGCUGCUUUUCUUCUCGGAGCUGCAGUACUACCUCCCCAAGGAGCCGGUGGCCUUGACGACGGGAGCGGGCUGCCCUCCCCCGAGAGCCGCCCUGCGCCGAGGUGCUUCGAUAGCAGGCCGAGACCACAGACCUUGGCAGUCUCCUUUGUGAAGAGGGAUCGCAAGGAACUGUGCUGAUGCUGCAGGGGGAAGUGGAUUACAUUUCAGCGUAACAGCUUCUGUGGCAGCUGGAAACAGUCCUCCUUGUACACCGAACCAAACCCCGCAUUUAGGGUGCUGCAGUGUGCAUCUUGUUCCCUGUCCAGUAUCCGUCACAGUGUACUGACUGGGUCUGCUUCAGACAACAUUCUAACAAAGCCUUUGUGCAAGUAACGUCUGAUGGACGCUCCAGGAAGGCUUACAGAUAGCCGGUUCUUUCUCUGGAGGCUGUUCUUGAGAUGACGAAUGCUACUCUGUUAAUUGGUGUUAUUUCACACCUCAGCAGGCUCUAUGCAUACCAUUUCAGAGCUGGGGAAAGAAGAAGUGUUUGAUCCAAACUCUUUGGAUGCUGAUGGCUGCGAGAGCUGUUGUGGGGCGGAGUCAGAGGACGUUCGGUAACCUUUACACCUUUUUGUAUCUUCUUAGCACUUGA